rnacentral:misc_RNA from 1 species
CCGAACCGUCAACACGAGUUGUUGCUGGUCCUCGUAUGGGGUCACGUGCACGCUCUGUUCACACAUCCACUCACACCUGUGCACCUUCUGCCGUUCUGUGGCUUGGGGGACACCGUCCUUCUUGCUGUGGUUCUGCAUCUUUACACACACACACUGUAACAAAGUCUUAUGGGAUGUAUGCCGCGUAUAACGCAAUGCAAUA